rnacentral:rRNA from 1 species
CAGUAGCCGCGGUAAUACGUAGGGUGCAAGUGUUAAUCGGAAUUACUGGGCGUAAAGCGUGCGCAGGCGGUUCGCUAAGACAGAUGUGAAAUCCCCGGGCUUAACCUGGGAACUGCAUUUGUGACUGGCGGGCUAGAGUAUGGCAGAGGGGGGUAGAAUUCCACGUGUAGCAGUGAAAUGCGUAGAGAUGUGGAGGAACACCGAUGGCGAAGGCAGCCCCCUGGGCCAAUACUGACGCUCAUGCACGAAAGCGUGGGGAGCGAACAGGAUUAGAUACCCCUGUAGUCCCUGUCUCUUAUAC